UAAAAUACAACAUCAUUCAUUAGUACACAACAACAAUUAAUAAUACUCUUAUGAUAUAGAAAUAACUUGCUCCUUUGGUAUUAUUGGGUGUGAAGGUUUAGAAUAUUGAUCAAAUUAAUGACCAGGAAUCAUUUGUGCAUUUUGUUUCUGCAACCCAAGGGGGAGAAAUGGUGGUUGUGCUGGAUUUGUAGAAGGACACCUACCAAACAAGCAUCCAAGACAUCUUAUUCCACAAGCACCACAAUUAAAAGGGCUAAAAUUAAUGUUUGCACAAAAACGAUUACAACAUUGCCAAUUCCCAAUAAAUGGACAACGAAUCCCACAAAAUCCACAAUUGUCUGCAUCACUUGUAACAUCAACACAACGGUUUCUACAACAUACAGAUCUUGGUGGAUUUUCUCCUGCACUACAGAUCCAUGGUCUUAGAGCACAAUUAUAUGAUUCUUGAUCCAAAUCACCUACCUUAACAACAACAUUAGUGUUGAUGGGAUUUUCUUUCACUUCAUCUUUUGGAAUCAGUGAAAUUGGAUUUGCCUCUAUUUUGAUCUGAAAGAUAAGAAGUAAUGCUACAAUUGUUACCAAAUGAAUUGCUAGAGUACUCAUAUUGAAAAAGUGCAAGAAGGUGGUCAUAAUUUUUUUUUUUUGUGGUGAGAAUGCCAGGAUUAGGAAACCCUAUAUAUACACGAACUUAAGUGAAAUGAGCAUAGCUUUUGUAACAAGCUUGAAGAACAUGCUUUUCCUGCAUGUAAGAGAUGACAACCUUGAUUUUUGUUUGCUUUAACUCUAAUAUAUGUCUGAUUCUAUUUUCAAAAGAUUCAAAAUUGAUUUUAAACGUGUAUAGUUCACUUUAAUGUGAUUACACAAAAAAUUUAGAAAAAAUAUUUUAUAGAAGAAAUAAUUAGUUUUAGAAAAUUUCAAAUGUAUUUUUUUUUUUAUAAUUUUAUAUUAAAAUGAAAAUUUCAAAUGUAUUUUUAAGUUCAAUUAUAUUAAAGGUGAAUAUGAAUCAAAAGUAGGUAAAGUACUAACGUAAUUUGAUAAAUGAUUUUCUCCUUCCACAUGAAAAUUGAAUUGUCUUUUGAAAAGAUGGUAACCACCUUAGAAAAUUCUUUGUUAAGUUAAUAUAAGCUCGAGGAUUUUAGCUUUACAUGAAUACAUUUAAAUUCAAAUCACUUUAGAUUUAAAUUAUUUUUAGCCAAAAUUUAUUUUACACAGUUAAUUUAUUCAAGAAGCGUUUUUUGUGACAACCUUAAAUAAUAUCACUAUGGUGAACACAAUGAAAGAAAAAUUGUAAUCACAACAAGAAAUUUUUACUUUUGCUUGAAAUGUGAUUUAUCACAUGUAAUGUGUUAAAACUUUGAACACGCAAACGCAAAGAAACUUGGUGGAUCCCUUUAUGGUGUGUUUUUUUUAGUUAAUUUAUAUUAAAUUGAUAAUAAAUCCUUUAAAUAUGACAAAAUACUAGCGUAAUUUGGGUAAAGAUUCUCUCAUGUCACAUGAAAAUUACAUUUUUUAUGAAAAGAUGAAAAAUACAUUAGAAAAUUAUGAAUAAAGUUAAAAUAAAGCUCGAGGUAUGUGUGAUUUUGUUUUGUUUACGAAAAAUGGUUGUUUUCUCAUUUAAGCCAAGGUUAAGUUGAAUGCUCAUACAUGAUUUUAUCUUAAAAAAUAAUAUACUUUUCAAAAAUAACAUUUUUGACAACUGUACUAAAUUUUUAUAUUUAUGUCCUCGUCAAGUGAAUGCAAAAUAUAAGGAGAUAAAAACUGUUUUUGAUCUAAAUACUGUGUAUUCACCUGGGGACGGUUUAGUCCAUAGUUUCUUUUACAAUAUGUUUUUAUUCAAUAAAAAAAUAGUGGAUUAUGAUAAAACUUUCUUUUUGUUUCCUUUUUUCUUCGGUUUUAUUUCUAUCCCCUCAUGCUUUGUUGUUUUCCUUUUAUUUUAAUCUAACUUAAAACUUAUGAAAAAAUAGUGAAUUUUAUUUAGAUGUCUGAUUGUUAUUCUAACUUUAGUCGAUGAAGUUAUUUUAUCAACAAAAAAAAAAUUAAAUAACCCCCUUUAAUUAAAAAUAUUUUUUAAAAGAAUAUUUUAAUACAGUAAUAAUACUAUAUUCAUCUUAAUCCCAUUUUAGUAAAAAUAGAGUCGUGAUACUAUAUUCAUCUUAAUCCCCUCUAAAAAGAAAUAUUUUUUUAAAUAAAGUUUAAUUUGAUUUUUUUAUAGUUUCAACAUUAUAUAUAUAAAUGGUGCACGUUAUAUUUAGCAUGUGCUAUGGAUAAAACAACUUUUUUAUGUCCUCAUGAGCAUAGCUCAAUUGGCAGGGAUAUUGCAUAAUUUAUGCAGGGGCCGGGGUUCGAACCCCAGACACCCCACUUCUCCACAUUUAAAUGUAUGAGCUCCAGCCACCAGGCUACUAGAAAAAAAAAAAAAAACUUUUUUAUUACAAUAAAAAUAUUAUUAUCUAUAAAGCAUAUAAAAUUGUAUUUAGCAAAACUGAAAAAUGCGACACUAUUCCCCUUCUGUAACAAACCAAUGAUAGUGGGGUUUGUGGUUUUAAUUGGUUUAUUUUCUAUUAAAAAGAUUUUUUAAGCCAUUCUUUAACAAACCAAUUAUUAAAGUCAACAAAGAUAGUGGGAAAAUAGGACACUAUUCCCCUUCUAUAACAAACCAAUGAUAGUGGGGUUUGUGGUUUUAAUUGGUUUAUUUUAAAAUUUCUUAAACCGUUACAUAAUUUAUUCAAUUGGACUAUGAAGGGAUGUUCAAUUAGGAACUAUUUUCUCUAAAAAAAAAAAGGAACUAUUACAGAAUGAAAUUAUUGUAAAAUAUAGUGGAUCAUGUUUAAUUAGAGAUGAGAAGCUUUAAAAAAAAUAAAAAUGAGAAACAUCUCUAAUACAUGCCACAUCAUCAUAAUAGAAGCCUAAGUAGUUCAAGUUUCUAAUUCAAAGAUAUAUAUAUAUAUAUAUAUAUAUAGAUAGAUUGUCAUAAUCAUGCUUCUUCUUAAUAUACAAGAUCAAUUAAUAAUAAUCUUAUCAUAUUAAAUUAUAAUUUUAUAAGAACAUAACAACAAUUAAUAAUAAUCUUUAUGAUACAAUAACACCCCAAAAUACAACAUCAUUCAUAAGUACACAACAACAAUUGAUAAUAAUCUUUAUGAUAUAACAACUCCAUAAAAUACAACAUCAUUCAUUAGUACACAACAACAAUUAAUAAUACUCUUAUGAUAUAGAAAUAACUUGCUCCUUUGGUAUUAUUGGGUGUGAAGGUUUAGAAUAUUGAUCAAAUUAAUGACCAGGAAUCAUUUGUGCAUUUUGUUUCUGCAACCCAAGGGGGAGAAAUGGUGGUUGUGCUGGAUUUGUAGAAGGACACCUACCAAACAAGCAUCCAAGACAUCUUAUUCCACAAGCACCACAAUUAAAAGGGCUAAAAUUAAUGUUUGCACAAAAACGAUUACAACAUUGCCAAUUCCCAAUAAAUGGACAACGAAUCCCACAAAAUCCACAAUUGUCUGCAUCACUUGUAACAUCAACACAACGGUUUCUACAACAUACAGAUCUUGGUGGAUUUUCUCCUGCACUACAGAUCCAUGGUCUUAGAGCACAAUUAUAUGAUUCUUGAUCCAAAUCACCUACCUUAACAACAACAUUAGUGUUGAUGGGAUUUUCUUUCACUUCAUCUUUUGGAAUCAGUGAAAUUGGAUUUGCCUCUAUUUUGAUCUGAAAGAUAAGAAGUAAUGCUACAAUUGUUACCAAAUGAAUUGCUAGAGUACUCAUAUUGAAAAAGUGCAAGAAGGUGGUCAUAAUUUUUUUUUUUUGUGGUGAGAAUGCCAGGAUUAGGAAACCCUAUAUAUACACGAACUUAAGUGAAAUGAGCAUAGCUUUUGUAACAAGCUUGAAGAACAUGCUUUUCCUGCAUGUAAGAGAUGACAACCUUGAUUUUUGUUUGCUUUAACUCUAAUAUAUGUCUGAUUCUAUUUUCAAAAGAUUCAAAAUUGAUUUUAAACGUGUAUAGUUCACUUUAAUGUGAUUACACAAAAAAUUUAGAAAAAAUAUUUUAUAGAAGAAAUAAUUAGUUUUAGAAAAUUUCAAAUGUAUUUUUUUUUUUAUAAUUUUAUAUUAAAAUGAAAAUUUCAAAUGUAUUUUUAAGUUCAAUUAUAUUAAAGGUGAAUAUGAAUCAAAAGUAGGUAAAGUACUAACGUAAUUUGAUAAAUGAUUUUCUCCUUCCACAUGAAAAUUGAAUUGUCUUUUGAAAAGAUGGUAACCACCUUAGAAAAUUCUUUGUUAAGUUAAUAUAAGCUCGAGGAUUUUAGCUUUACAUGAAUACAUUUAAAUUCAAAUCACUUUAGAUUUAAAUUAUUUUUAGCCAAAAUUUAUUUUACACAGUUAAUUUAUUCAAGAAGCGUUUUUUGUGACAACCUUAAAUAAUAUCACUAUGGUGAACACAAUGAAAGAAAAAUUGUAAUCACAACAAGAAAUUUUUACUUUUGCUUGAAAUGUGAUUUAUCACAUGUAAUGUGUUAAAACUUUGAACACGCAAACGCAAAGAAACUUGGUGGAUCCCUUUAUGGUGUGUUUUUUUUAGUUAAUUUAUAUUAAAUUGAUAAUAAAUCCUUUAAAUAUGACAAAAUACUAGCGUAAUUUGGGUAAAGAUUCUCUCAUGUCACAUGAAAAUUACAUUUUUUAUGAAAAGAUGAAAAAUACAUUAGAAAAUUAUGAAUAAAGUUAAAAUAAAGCUCGAGGUAUGUGUGAUUUUGUUUUGUUUACGAAAAAUGGUUGUUUUCUCAUUUAAGCCAAGGUUAAGUUGAAUGCUCAUACAUGAUUUUAUCUUAAAAAAUAAUAUACUUUUCAAAAAUAACAUUUUUGACAACUGUACUAAAUUUUUAUAUUUAUGUCCUCGUCAAGUGAAUGCAAAAUAUAAGGAGAUAAAAACUGUUUUUGAUCUAAAUACUGUGUAUUCACCUGGGGACGGUUUAGUCCAUAGUUUCUUUUACAAUAUGUUUUUAUUCAAUAAAAAAAUAGUGGAUUAUGAUAAAACUUUCUUUUUGUUUCCUUUUUUCUUCGGUUUUAUUUCUAUCCCCUCAUGCUUUGUUGUUUUCCUUUUAUUUUAAUCUAACUUAAAACUUAUGAAAAAAUAGUGAAUUUUAUUUAGAUGUCUGAUUGUUAUUCUAACUUUAGUCGAUGAAGUUAUUUUAUCAACAAAAAAAAAAUUAAAUAACCCCCUUUAAUUAAAAAUAUUUUUUAAAAGAAUAUUUUAAUACAGUAAUAAUACUAUAUUCAUCUUAAUCCCAUUUUAGUAAAAAUAGAGUCGUGAUACUAUAUUCAUCUUAAUCCCCUCUAAAAAGAAAUAUUUUUUUAAAUAAAGUUUAAUUUGAUUUUUUUAUAGUUUCAACAUUAUAUAUAUAAAUGGUGCACGUUAUAUUUAGCAUGUGCUAUGGAUAAAACAACUUUUUUAUGUCCUCAUGAGCAUAGCUCAAUUGGCAGGGAUAUUGCAUAAUUUAUGCAGGGGCCGGGGUUCGAACCCCAGACACCCCACUUCUCCACAUUUAAAUGUAUGAGCUCCAGCCACCAGGCUACUAGAAAAAAAAAAAAAAACUUUUUUAUUACAAUAAAAAUAUUAUUAUCUAUAAAGCAUAUAAAAUUGUAUUUAGCAAAACUGAAAAAUGCGACACUAUUCCCCUUCUGUAACAAACCAAUGAUAGUGGGGUUUGUGGUUUUAAUUGGUUUAUUUUCUAUUAAAAAGAUUUUUUAAGCCAUUCUUUAACAAACCAAUUAUUAAAGUCAACAAAGAUAGUGGGAAAAUAGGACACUAUUCCCCUUCUAUAACAAACCAAUGAUAGUGGGGUUUGUGGUUUUAAUUGGUUUAUUUUAAAAUUUCUUAAACCGUUACAUAAUUUAUUCAAUUGGACUAUGAAGGGAUGUUCAAUUAGGAACUAUUUUCUCUAAAAAAAAAAAGGAACUAUUACAGAAUGAAAUUAUUGUAAAAUAUAGUGGAUCAUGUUUAAUUAGAGAUGAGAAGCUUUAAAAAAAAUAAAAAUGAGAAACAUCUCUAAUACAUGCCACAUCAUCAUAAUAGAAGCCUAAGUAGUUCAAGUUUCUAAUUCAAAGAUAUAUAUAUAUAUAUAUAUAUAUAUAUAUAUAUAUAUAUAUAUAUAGAUAGAUUGUCAUAAUCAUGCUUCUUCUUAAUAUACAAGAUCAAUUAAUAAUAAUCUUAUCAUAUUAAAUUAUAAUUUUAUAAGAACAUAACAACAAUUAAUAAUAAUCUUUAUGAUACAAUAACACCCCAAAAUACAACAUCAUUCAUAAGUACACAACAACAAUUGAUAAUAAUCUUUAUGAUAUAACAACUCCAUAAAAUACAACAUCAUUCAUUAGUACACAACAACAAUUAAUAAUACUCUUAUGAUAUAGAAAUAACUUGCUCCUUUGGUAUUAUUGGGUGUGAAGGUUUAGAAUAUUGAUCAAAUUAAUGACCAGGAAUCAUUUGUGCAUUUUGUUUCUGCAACCCAAGGGGGAGAAAUGGUGGUUGUGCUGGAUUUGUAGAAGGACACCUACCAAACAAGCAUCCAAGACAUCUUAUUCCACAAGCACCACAAUUAAAAGGGCUAAAAUUAAUGUUUGCACAAAAACGAUUACAACAUUGCCAAUUCCCAAUAAAUGGACAACGAAUCCCACAAAAUCCACAAUUGUCUGCAUCACUUGUAACAUCAACACAACGGUUUCUACAACAUACAGAUCUUGGUGGAUUUUCUCCUGCACUACAGAUCCAUGGUCUUAGAGCACAAUUAUAUGAUUCUUGAUCCAAAUCACCUACCUUAACAACAACAUUAGUGUUGAUGGGAUUUUCUUUCACUUCAUCUUUUGGAAUCAGUGAAAUUGGAUUUGCCUCUAUUUUGAUCUGAAAGAUAAGAAGUAAUGCUACAAUUGUUACAAAAUGAAUUGCUAGAGUACUCAUAUUGAAAAAGUGCAAGAAGGUGGUCAUAAUAUUUUUUUUUUUGUGGUGAGAAUGCCAGGAUUAGGAAACCCUAUAUAUACACGAACUUAAGUGAAAUGAGCAUAGCUUUUGUAACAAGCUUGAAGAACAUGCUUUUCCUGCAUGUAAGAGAUGACAACCUUGAUUUUUGUUUGCUUUAACUCUAAUAUAUGUCUGAUUCCAUUUUCAAAAGAUUCAAAAUUGAUUUUAAACGUGUAUAGUUCACUUUAAUGUGAUUACACAAAAUUUUAUAAAAAUAUUUUAUAGACGAAAUAAUUAGUUUUAGAAAAUUUCAAAUGUAUUUUUAAGUUCAAUUAUAUUAAAG
rnacentral:lncRNA from 1 species